GAGGAAAGUCCGGGCUCUAUUUAGGAAAAUAUAGCUAUACAAACUAUAGUGUAGGUAACUACGAGGAUAGUGCCACAGAAAUAAACCUGCUUUCAUAUUAAUGAAUGUAAGGGUGCAAUGGUAUGGUAAAAGCGUACCAGAAAUAUUUUUAAGAUAUUUGCUAGGUAAACCCCGUAUAAGAGCAAAGUAAAAUAAUUAGAAUAAAUAAUAAAUUUUCUAUUUUUUUAUUUUUCAUAUUCAAUUAUGAUAACUAAUUAUUAAUAUACUGCCUAAAGUAAUCCUACUUAAGAUUAAUAAUUACCCUUUUUUAUUUAUAUAUAUUUUUUUUAUAAUUAAGAACAAAACCCGGCUUAU
rnacentral:RNase_P_RNA from 1 species